rnacentral:rRNA from 1 species
UGGGCGAGAGCCUGAACCAGCCAAGUAGCGUGAAGGAUGACUGCCCUAUGGGUUGUAAACUUCUUUUAUAAAGGAAUAAAGUCGGGUAUGGAUACCCGUUUGCAUGUACUUUAUGAAUAAGGAUCGGCUAACUCCGUGCC